rnacentral:misc_RNA from 1 species
UUAAUGGUAUAAAACUAGUAAAUUGGCCGCUCUUCGCGCGGGGUGAAUUUCUUUAAUGGUAUAAAGUUACAAUGUUUCUUUGAGAUUUUCACCUACUACGUUACAUUUUGCCAUGUAUAACGAAGCUGUCUACGUUAUUUUGCUUUUUUCUUUUUUAAAAAAUGCUACUCUCCACGAGGUAAAUAUAAGAUUGGCAUAUACACCACCUUCUCCAAACCAUACAUGCGAAAUCACAAGAUUGGCAUAUACACCACCUUCUCCAAACCAUACAUGCGAAAUCAC